UACCCGCCGAAUUUAAGCAUAUAAUUAAGCGGAGGAAAAGAAACUAAC
rnacentral:rRNA from 1 species